GACGAACCGUGCGAACGUUAUUCGGAAUCACUGGGCUUAAAGCGCGUGUAGGCGGGACGGCACGUCGGUCGUGAAAUCCCUCGGCUCAACCGAGGAACGUCGAUCGAUACUGCUGUUCUUGAGGAUUGCAGAGGAGACUGGAAUUCCCGGUGUAGCGGUGAAAUGUGUAGAGAUCGGGAGGAACACCGGUGGCGAAGGCGGGUCUCUGGGCAAUUCCUGACGCUGAGGCGCGAAAGCGUGGGGAGCGAACAGG
rnacentral:rRNA from 1 species